rnacentral:lncRNA from 1 species
GUGGCUGUGGAAUAUGGGAAAGGGUGAAUAUGAAAGAUUUUCCUUUCGACUGUGUUAAGUUUCAGAUGCUUGCUAUACUCUGAAGUAGAAAUGUGGAGACCAUUGAAAAUAGGGAAAGCAGUCAGGAGUGGGAGGCCUCUGAACAAGCUGUAUUUUGUGUAGCCGCCAGCUUCCAUCUUUCUCCAGGCAGAACGCUGGCCCUCAGCACAUCUUUCUGCUUCCCCUCGGUCAGACCACCGAGAACUGCCGCUGUCCUGUCUGACUCCUCCUGUUUUGGUACUAGACCCCAGAUGAGGAUCUCAGGAAGAUCCACAAAGCUGCGUCCAGGGGAACGAACGUGUGGAAGCUGCAGCGGAGCCUCCUGCUCAAGAGUAAAGGACCGGUCUGAAACCUACAAGAACAGAAGAGCCAUGUGACGGGAUCCGUGGUUUGGCAGAGGAGACAUGCGAGAAGACGGAACGUUUUGUCCGAAUAGACAUCUGGCAGGGUGGAACGGAGAGAACAGGUAUGGUGGAGAGAACGUCUGAGAAGGUCGCAGGAUUCGCAGGAGCAUCGGGAAAAGAUUGCCUGCUUGCCCGAAGGAAUGGCAAGUUCCAAAGCUGUGCUGUGGGCAGUGUUUAGUUCAUGUCUGCUUUGCUGGCGGGCCGAGUAGCAACAGCUGCAGUUGGUGUGUUCUCUGAAGGCAGUAUCCGAAGGCUGGAGGGGUUGCUUUUCUUCCCAGGUGUCUUUUGAAGAGGCAGUCAAGUCAGCAGCUCGCGGUGACCUUCUGGUAACAUCGUAUGGGCUGGGUUACAGCACAUGCCGACUGCUAAGCCGGUCACUGGGGAAAACCAU